UACGUAGGGUGCAAGCGUUAAUCGGAAUUACUGGGCGUAAAGCGUGCGCAGGCGGUUGUGCAAGACAGAUGUGAAAUCCCCGGGCUCAACCUGGGAAUUGCAUUUGUGACUGCACGGCUAGAGUGUGUCAGAGGGGGGUAGAAUUCCACGUGUAGCAGUGAAAUGCGUAGAUAUGUGGAGGAAUACCGAUGGCGAAGGCAGCCCCCUGGGACUAACACUGACGCUCAUGCACGAAAGCGUGGGGAGCAAACAGG
rnacentral:rRNA from 1 species